CUGCGGUGCGGGCAGCCCGACCUGCUGCGGCGCCAGCCACGGCAGGAAGAGGCGUCCUCGGGGACCAGGACAGCGGCUCGUCGCGGGCCCCGCGGCCCCAGCGCCCGGUCACCGCGCGGGGAGGGGCCGGGGCCGCGGGGCCGGAGACCCUGGUCCUGCAUCCGGCUGCGUGUCCAUCUAAAAGGAUUUGGAUCGCAGGGGGGCCUGAAAGCUCCUUCCGUUGGCGCCUUGGUUCGGAGUUCCAGACCCGAGGAUGGGAAUUCUGCGGGCCCAGAAGACUGACGUGGAAGGAGAGAGGGAAGCCGAGGGAGGGGGCAAGCCCGAGACUUCACAUCUCAGCGUUCCAGCUCUCACACCCUGAAGCUCGGCCGCAGUAGUUGAAUUUCAGAUGAUUUACGCUCAGCUAGCAGAAAAGGUAAGUAGUCUAUAAAGGAGCUCGGGUCUGUGCAUUCCUUGGAUCGUAAAGGUAUUUUACUUCAGGAGUUCGAACCUUUGGGUGACUUUUCCCCUCUGUAUUAGAUGGAGCCCGCGUGUAUUUUCACAUGUCAGAGGUGUUGAGCAAGCUCAAGGAUGCUGGUAUUCCCUGUUUCAUUCAGCGCCAACCCCCCUCCCUGGACUGGAAUGUCCCAGUGCUCCGUGAAUAAGUCAAGGUUGCAAAGCCUGCAUGUAGACCGAAGGUCAUGACUGCGAGCAACUCAGCACCACCUGACCUUGCUGUUUCAAAUAUUUGUAACCAACCCACUCAGUCUUAAUAACACCCUUUGUGAGUAAAUUUCAAAAAAAAAAAAAAAAAAACAAAUUGCAAUACUCCCUGAAAAGAAAGGAAAAAUUCCAAUUAUAAAUAACAUGAACCGAUGUGUUGCUUAUUUAUGGUUUGAUUCAGUAUUCCCAACGUAAAGAAACACACACACAAAAGGCAGAUUCUCACUCCCUCUGAAGCCGUGAGAGAGACGCAGCCUUGGCAGCGUGGCCUUCCGAGCUGUAGCAUCUGAGCUCGCUCCCUAGGGCUCAGGUCCGUGCACUGCAGUGCCUUUCAGGCACAGAAGCAGCGUCGUGGUGCAGACAAGAGCCGGCUAGAGGCACAGCCCACACAGAGGACUGCAACGCUCACCUAACCUUCCCUUUAGGAGAGAGCCUGGAAGUUGAGGGAGAGAGAAAGAAGCGACUGAUUUGUAUCCCAAAACCGAAUUCUCAACUGACUUGAGAAAAGUGAGUUGCCGAAAGCUGGCCCCACUCAAUAGAGAAUAUUCCCAAAGUAGCACUUGACAUUGCCUUGUUUUGUUUUGUUUUCCUGCCCAAAGGGCCAGCUCCAUAUUGUGCCCCCAUAACAGGACAACAACAUAGGUUUCUGAAAAAGUUACGUUAUGACAAAAAUUACUAUUGGCCAACCUUUUAGGGAACAAUAGAUAGUUCUGUUCAUGGGGAUAUGACAAAUCCCCAGUGCAUUCAUAGAAAUAAUAAACUUUUCAUAUCAUCUCCUUUCCCCCAUCACAUUGUGGUUUGUUAGCCUCUAUCACAAAAAUAUUAGAACUUUUGAGUAGUUCUUCUUGAAGAUUUUUUUCCAUCUUUAAACCUUGACACUGGCAGCAUCUAUCUGUACCCCUGAUUUUGAAUCCUUCGGCCCCAUGGUAAUUCCUUUGCUGUCUCCUCCAUUGGGAUCUCCUGCCUUCCAGAAUUCUGUGUCAGCCCGCCCAGGAGCUGACCUUGGACCUCUUUUCUCUUCCAACACUCCCACGCUCCGUGAUCUCAUCCAGCCUAUGGCUUGAAAUAGCCUCCAUUCACUGAUGUAUAUCUUUAACCCUGAC
ensembl:lincRNA